GGGCUGGGGCUCAGUGCUGGAGCGCUUGCCUAGCACGUGCAAGGCCCUGGGUUCGAUCCUCAGCACCCCA
rnacentral:tRNA from 1 species